GGAUCACGUGGCUAGUGUGUCGAUGAAGAGCGCAGCCAACUGUGUGAAUUAAUGUGAACUGCAUACUGCUUUGAACGUCGACAUCUUGAACGC
rnacentral:rRNA from 1 species